rnacentral:misc_RNA from 1 species
UAUUAUUGUCUCUGUUUAACCAUUGUAGAACAGUUUGGCUAUUGCAUGUUUGUGGUUUGGUUGUUUCAAAUCUGCUCUGUGUAGAGCCUGUUGGAGAUACCGCAUCGAAAGCUUGACCUGCAUCGAAAGCUUGACCUGAUCUUCUAGGGUGAGUAGUUAUUUGACUAGGCAUUAGGGUCUCUGUGAACAAUAGGUUUAAGUUUAGAUCUUGGAUGCCUCCAUCAUAUUAACUAAGUUUUAACUCAAUCUAAAAUUUGAUUUUGUAGUUGUCCAUGCUUCAAGCCCAGCGGAUCCUAGAGAUAUAUGACUUAUACUUAGGCUUUUUUAAAAUCUUGAGCUUAAGGUUUGAAUAACUUUUGAACUGCCAAUACUUGUCCACUUUAUCGUUACAAAUAAAGCAUGGCAUAGCAGUAGAAAUUGAGUUGUUUUUUCCCUGAUUUUUCUUGAAGGGAGGUUUGUCUGAGUCAAUACAUGUAUUUCUUAAUAUGCUAUUUUCAAAUUUUUAGGGUUUUUUAUUUUGCAUGUGAUGGCAUAGUAUGAAAUACCGAUUUUGACGGAACAAUGAGGACAUAUUUAACAAGUGAUGUUCAGUUAUCGGCUUGUUAUGUGCCCAAAGAGAUGAUGUUGCCUGAUGAUUUGUUUGGAACCCUAUUGAGUUUAUUGGCCUGUGAUUUAUUGAACUUUCUCUUUGUGAAUUAACAAGUGAUGAUGCAAAUUACUCAUUUGAUACAGGAGACGGCUGGCUUUUUCUUUUGUCUAGAA